rnacentral:tRNA from 1 species
GACAUGUUAGCUCAGUGGUUAGAGCGCCGUGUGAGUUACACGGAAGGUCAUGAGUUCGAUUCUCAUACAAGUCA